rnacentral:rRNA from 1 species
UACGUGAAACCGCUCAGGGGUAAAGGGUUGGGCCCUCGAAGUCCUGGCGGCGGGAGGAUUCAGUCGGUGCGGAGGGGGAGGCACGGCCGAGCGGUCCCGAAACGCACUGCUGAAAGCGCGCAGUAGCGGUCGUGCGCACGCUCCCUCGCGCCGACGCAGUUGACUCCCGCCCGGAGGACGCCGCAACCGGUCGAGAUCGACGGCCAGAGAGCCGGACGCGAUCGAUGGUCGACUUCGUUGCCCUCCCCCCCGGGGGGGGGCGGCGUCGUCGGAUUCUGGUCUGUCCGGCGGCGGCGCGUCUCUCGACCGACGAUUCGUGGCCCGCGCCAGCGGGCCGCACCGCCCCCGCUCCCCCAAAGAGCUGCCGGACAUCGACGCGGCAGGGGUUCUCCUCGACAACGCGCAGGCGCAGAGACUCGCUCUCGCGGCCUGGCGCGCGGGAGACCUCGAGAUGGCCGCGCGUGCUCCGUCGGGGUCGAGCGCUCGCGGUUGGCGGCGAGUAGAUCGGUCACCCAACCCACCCGUCUUGAAACACGGACCAAGGAGUCUAACAUGUGUGCGAGUCACUGGGUCUCGACAAAGCCCAAAGGCGCAGCGAAAGCGAAGACCGCGCACUCAGCCGGUCACACGAGUCGAGAUCCCCCCGUCCAGGCGGGGGGCGCAUCGACGGCCCGCCUUGCGUCGAUCCUAUAUCGGCCGGGCGGAGUCUGAGCACACACGUUGGUGCCCGAAAGAUGGUGAGCUAUGCCCGGACAGGACGAAGCCAGAGG